rnacentral:rRNA from 1 species
AGACGUCUACAUUAGAUACCCGCGUAGUCCCAGCCGUAAACUAUGCGCGUUAGGUGUAUCGGUGACCACGAGUCACCGAGGUGCCGAAGGGAAACCGUGAAACGUGCCGCCUGGGAAGUACGGUCGCAAGGCUGAAACUUAAAGGAAUUGCGGGGAGCACCACAACAGGUGGAGCCUGCGGUUUAAUUGGACUCAACGCCGGGAAGCUCACCGGAUAGGACAGCAGAAUGAUUGCCGGGCUGAAGACCCUGCAUGACUAGCUG